CGGGAAGAGACGCGUAGACUUUCCAAGUACAAGCAACCACUUGUCGUUCGUUAAAUGGAACACCACCGCGUAAUUUAGCGCUCAAUCAACCCCUCUCUCCAGCUGGGCCGUACUCCGCCCCCAGCUAUCCCUGCAACGAUCUCCUCUUCCCCUCUCCGCGCUAGAAAUAUUAAAAAAAGGGGGCACCAGAUCUUAGCCUUCCAUCUCUGAAAUCCACUACCAUCGCCUCUAAAAGCAUCCGAACAAAAUCUUGAAAUCUAAAAUCCAUUUUCACUCUAUAAUUUUUUUAAAAAAACUGAAAAUCAUAAAUUCCAUUUAACUUCAUUUUAGGGUUUUUUCAUGUGGAUUAGUCUCCAUCGUCCAUCAAAUCUUGAUUUGAUAAUGUAAGCUGCUCGAAACCAAUCAAAUGGCAUCAAUCCGUCGAACACUCUCACAGGUUUACCAAGACCGCAGCUACCAAAACGGCGUCGCUUCAGCACAAGCUCACAAGCUCUUCAGCACUAACAACAACAGCGGCAAGUAUUCUUCCUUGACCUCCACCUCCGCCGUCGCAGCAGCUUCCGUCUAUCUCCGCCGCAAAGGAUUUCGCAGAUCCUUUUAUAGGUGCACGAUAUUCUUCAUCCUAGGGCUUUUACUUGGUAUCUUCCCGUUUGGUCAAGUGGAUAACGAUAUCAAUAAGCAUGAUUUCUCCUUCGAAAUGAAGCCGCCACAUGUCAAUGUCCAAUUGGACACCAAAGAUAAUUUCGCUCUCGCUGCCGUGUCCUUCGGCGUCGAGAAAACGACACCGCAAUUGGAUCGAUUUUCAAGGUUUGAUUAUGUAGAGCGAAAGCAAGUGAUAGUGAUAACACCGACAUAUAAUCGAGCAUUACAAGCCUACUUCUUGAAUAGAUUAGGUCAGGUGUUGAGGUUAGUGCAGCCGCCGUUGUUGUGGAUUGUGGUGGAGAUGACGUCAGCAUCGGCGGAGACAGCGGAGAUAUUGAGGAAAACCGGGGUGAUGUAUAGGCAUUUGGUUUGUGUUAAUAAGAAUAACACGAAUGUGAAGGACAGAGGAGUGCAUCAGAGGAAUGCGGGAUUGGAGCAUAUAGAAAGGCAUAGACUUGAUGGGAUUGUGUAUUUUGCUGAUGAUGAUAAUGUAUAUUCGCUUCAAUUGUUUGAGAGCUUGAGAAAUAUCAGUCAUUUUGGCACUUGGCCUGUUGCAAUGCUUGCACAAAGCAAAAACAAAGCAAUUGUGGAAGGUCCGGUAUGCAAUGCCAGUCAAGUAAUUGGAUGGCACACAAAUGAGAAAAGUAAAAGACUCCGCAGGUUUCAUGUUGAUAUGUCUGGAUUUGCUUUCAACAGCACCAUCUUGUGGGACCCAAAGAGAUGGAACCGCCCCUUUUCAAAUCCAAUUCGACAGUUAGAUACAGUGAAGGAGGGUUUUCAACUUUUUCACAGGAGACCACAUUCAUUGAGCAAGUGGUAGAAGAUGAAAGUCAAAUGGAAAGUGUACCACCCAGCUGUUCAAGGAUACUGAACUGGCAUCUUCAUUUAGAUGCUCAUGGUCUUGUCUAUCCCAGAGGCUGGCUGCUCCAGAAGAACCUAGAAGUUGUUCAGCCCAUCAAGUGAUUGAGCUUCAAAGUGCAAUUUUGAUGGUAAAGAUCAAGAGAGUGGCUCGUCAUCCCCAACCAUUUUUUUGCUUCAUUUGUGACAUCUUCAUCGAGCAGCCUCCAUAGAUACUCAGCAGCCUAUGACAAAGAAACAGGAGUUUUUGUUUUCGCAUAAUUUCUUAGAAUGAUAUUCUUUGCCAGAAACAAGAAUGCCCUUUUUGUUGUAGAGUUCUGGUGCUUGAUUCUUGUGGGGAUUUAUUGCUUAAUUUCUUAAGAUUUGCCCCCCGGCAUCUAAAAACAGAUGUUAUGUGCGUUUGAGGACAGCCAGGACGGCUGUCGUGGAUCCAUUCUUUUGUAUUUGAGUGGUAGGCCUUUCAAAAGAAUCAAGAAAAUUGCAAGUUGUAAAAUUCAGUUGUUAUAAAAGUUGUCUCAAUGUUUCUGGCGA